rnacentral:rRNA from 1 species
UACGUAGGCAGCGAGCGUUGUUCGGAAUUACUGGGCGUAAAGAGUGUGUAGGCGGUGCUCUAAGUUCGGUGUGAAAUCUCCUGGCUCAACUGGGAGGGUGCGCCGGAAACUGGAGUGCUUGAGCGUGGGAGAGGAAAGCGGAAUUCCCGUGGUAGACGGUGAAAUGCGUAGAUAUCAGGAGGAACACCUGUGGUGUAGACGGCUUUCUGGACCAUAGCUGACGCUGAGACACGAAAGCGUGGGUAGCAAACAGG